CUUUCUUUGCUGGCGACCGGCGCACGGGUGAGUAACACGUAUCCAACCUGCCCCUUACUCGGGGAUAGCCUUUCGAAAGAAAGAUUAAUACCCGAUAGCAUAAUGAUUCCGCAUGGUUUCAUUAUUAAAGGAUUCCGGUAAAGGAUGGGGAUGCGUUCCACUAGGUUGUUGGUGGGGUAACGGCCCACCAAGCCUUCGAUGGAUAGGGGUUCUGAGAGGAAGGUCCCCCACAUUGGAACUGAGACACGGUCCAA
rnacentral:rRNA from 1 species